rnacentral:misc_RNA from 1 species
GAUCAGGCUGUCAGAUUCCGUGAUCCAUCAUUAUAGCUAGAAUCAUGUGUCGAAUAUUUCAGGGAAGAUACUGUGUUUCAUCGGUCUAUAAACUUCAAGCACAGACAAAGUGAUAAUCAAGUCUACAUCAAACGCUUGAACUUCAGUGCUCUUGUGUUUAUUAUAAUCUGCAAGAAACUACAAGAAAUUAUCAACAUUGCUCUUUAGUGCUUUCGCAACAGUCCGAUCUGAAAUUGUUUAUGUGUAUUGAUGUAUCUUAUCGUACAGCUCUCAUGGUGAAGCUUUACAACAACUGUAAGAAUUUACAUGGUUGAAUUUGGAACUCUUACCAAUGCAUUGUGCUCUUAUGAUAUAAAUAUGUUCUCUUAUUUUCAUCCUGGACAAGAAAUCUCUGUUCAUUUCGAUUCUUUCUUGUUGUGUGUUCUAACUGUGUAAUGUUUGGUGAAUAUUAAUCUGUUUACUAGUCGUGAUUCGGUUAAACUCUGGUGUUUAGAUUUUCUCGUAUAUACAUGUACAAGGAUUAUGUUUAUUAUAUAUGAAAAAUAAAGGUAAAUUUUGUAAUUGAUUUCAAAUCCACCCAACAAAUUUUAAAUCAAAUUUAUAAAGUUAUUAAUAAAGAAAUAAAAAGAAUU